rnacentral:snoRNA from 1 species
CACUCCCCUUUCAUUUUACCAUUGAAGCUUAUGUCUUUAUUGGUUGUUCAAGUAGGGCAAAGGAAAUAGCCUUUUAAAUCUCAGAGGCCAGGUUAC